CCUACGGGAGGCAGCAGUGGGGAAUAUUGCACAAUGGGGGAAACCCUGAUGCCGCGACGCCGCGUGAGCGAUGAAGUAUUUCGGUAUGUAAAGUUCUAUUAGCAGGGAAGAAAAUGACGGUAUCUGACUAAGACGCCCCGGCUAUCUACGUGCCAGCAGCCGCGGUAAGUCGUAGGGGGCACGCGUUAUCCGGAUUUACUGGGUGUAAAGGGAGCGUAGACGGUCCUGCAAGUCAGAGUUGAAAGCCCGGGGCUCAACCCCGGAACUGCAUUUGGAACUGUACGGCUAGAGUGUCGGAGAGGCAGGCGGAAUUCCUAGUGUAGCGGUGAAAUGCGUAGAUAUUAGGAGGAACACCAGUGGCGAAGGCGGCCUGCUGGACGAUGACUGACGUUGAGGCUCGAAAGCGUGGGGAGCAAACAGGAUUAGAUACCCCAGUAGUC
rnacentral:rRNA from 1 species